UUCAGGAGAAGAUAUGUCUUGCUAACUAUGGAGUCUAAUCCCCAAAGACUCUGUAGAGUUCAUAUUAUGCUUAUGUACAAUAAAUCUUUGCGUAUCUGCAACAAAGUCUCUCCUGCU